UUUAAAUCUUUUUUAGAGAGUUUGAUCCUGGCUCAGGACGAACGCUGGCGGCGUGCCUAACACAUGCAAGUCGAGCGGAGAUAUAUAGAAGGUUUACCGGAAAUAUAUCUUAGCGGCGGACGGGUGAGUAACGCG
rnacentral:rRNA from 1 species